rnacentral:tRNA from 1 species
GCCCCUGUAGCUCAGAUGGACAGAGCAGCGGUUUCCUAAACCGCGUGUCGUGAGUUCGACUCUCACCAGGGGCA